rnacentral:rRNA from 1 species
GAUGAACGCUGGCGGCGUGCCUAAUACAUGCAAGUCGAGCGAAAAGAGGCGGCGAGUUCUUGACGGAUGGUAGAGGGGGACGGGAGAGUAAGAAAUGGGUAACGUACCUGUAAGAAAGUAAUAAAAUCAGGAAACAAGAGCUAAUACGGGAUAAGAAGUUGAACCGGAUGGUUUAAGAGUGCAAGAGAGUGUUGCUGUCAAUUAUAGAUGAAUCCGUGCGGGAUUAGCUAGUUGGUAAGGUAAAGGCUUACCAAGGCAACGAUGCGUAGCAGAGCUGAGAGGAUGACCAGCCACACUGGGACUGAGACACGGUCCAGACUCCUACGGGAGGCAGCAGUAGGGAAUUUUCCACAAUGGGCGAAAGCCUGACCCAGCAACGCCGCGUGCAGGAAGAAGGCCUUCGGAUCGUAAACUUCUUUUAUUCGGGACGAACAGAUUCUUAUUUAUCUCUGCGCGUCUUGACGGUACCUAAUCAAAAAGCCCCGGCUAACUACGUG